rnacentral:ncRNA from 22 species
GCUUUGUGGCAGGGGUCAGGUGCCGCCUUCGGGCGGAGAAUCGGGAAGCCGGUGGAAAUCCGGCGCGGGCCCGCCGCUGUGACGGGGAUGCUUCGGGCAAGAGGCCACCGGUUCGCCGGGAAGGCGCCCGGCGGCAGAUGAACCGGAGCCAGAAGACCGGCCUGACGCAGAGGUUCCCGC